UAGAGAGGGCAGAGAAGUGAGAACAUGAGCUAUGUUCCGCAAGAUGGCACUUAAAGGGUGAGAAGAGAGGAAUAUAUAUGAGAUGCAGUCUCACACACACCUGACAUGCCUCCUUGCCUUCUGGGAGUGCUCCUCACUCUCCAGAAUACUCAGUGAGGACAAACAAUAUUUUUGAAUUUAGAAUUUAAAUAUCUUCAAAAGCAAGUAACUCGGCAGCUGCUAGAGGAUACAGGAUCUGAGACUCAAAAGAACCAGCAUAAUCUCAGUACUUACCCAGAAACCAGGCAGACUCCUCCAGAAGACAUGAAUCUAAUCAACCUUCUUCAAAGCGACAUCACAGGACUGAAGAAAUAUUCUAAGUAUAGAUGCCUGCACCGGUGCAUGGGUUCAGCUGGUUCCAGUGUCCCUGGCUCGCAUCUCCUGCCAGGCUGCAAACAGGAUGUCCUCUGGGACUGCAGUCAUUGCAAAGCCCAACAGGGAAGGAUCGGCUUCCAGUCUCACUCAGAUGGUUGUUGGCAGGACUCAGUUUCUCCUCGGUUGUUGGAAUGACUAUCUCAGUUCAGACUGGCUGUUGGCCAAGAGUCCACCUUCAGUUCUUUGUCACACCAGUCUCACCAUAGGCCAGCUCACACAUGGCAACUUGCUUCAUUGGAACAAGUACGCCAGGAGCGCCAGAGAGAAUUAAGUAAGGAUGAGGUCACAGUCUUUUAUAACCUAAUGUCUAUAUGACAUCCCAUCACUGCUGUUACUCUUCAGAGAAAGCCUCUUCUAUUCUAGUCCAUUCUUUAGAAGCUAGUCAUUAGGUCCAGCUCACAUAUGGGGAGGGGGGAGGACUAUAUAAAGGUGUUACUAUCAGGAGUUGGGGGCCACUGAGAGCCAUGUCAGAAAGCUGCCUACCAUUGGGAGAGCACUGUAUAUAAAUCUGGGGGGACAGCAUUCCAGAUGUUGGGAAUAGAAAUGCAAAGACCAUAGCAAUUUUGAGGUACAGAAAUGGGGCUGGAAUGAAAUCAGGAAAAGGAAGUGGAGCUUGAAAAGUAGGCAGGAGCCCGAUCCUGGGUCACUUGGAACUGUUCAGGUCUUGGUUGUUUGGAUUUGAUUAGGAGCAGUGAAGACAAUUCCUUGGAAGGAUUUGAGCAGAAGAGGCUAAACUAACCUUUCUUUUAUGAAACUGGAAUGAUAGUAAAUGGCACAGUCUAUUCACUUACUUGGUUUGAUCUACUUUUAAUGACCUUCCUAAGGGGAAGCUGGCAAUUAAAUCCAUGUCAGUUGUUCUCUA